rnacentral:rRNA from 1 species
CCUACGGGAGGCUGCAGUGGGGAAUAUUGGACAAUGGGCGAAAGCCUGAUCCAGCCAUGCCGCAUGUGUGAAGAAGGCCUUCGGGUUGUAAAGCACUUUCAGUGGGGAAGAAAGCCUUGGGGCUAAUACCCUCGAGGAAGGACAUCACCCACAGAAGAAGCACCGGCUAACUCCGUGCCAGCAGCCGCGGUAAUACGGAGGGUGCGAGCGUUAAUCGGAAUUACUGGGCGUAAAGCGCGCGUAGGCGGUCUGAUAAGCCGGUUGUGAAAGCCCCGGGCUCAACCUGGGAACGGCAUCCGGAACUGUCAGGCUAGAGUGCAGGAGAGGAAGGUAGAAUUCCCGGUGUAGCGGUGAAAUGCGUAGAGAUCGGGAGGAAUACCAGUGGCGAAGGCGGCCUUCUGGACUGACACUGACGCUGAGGUGCGAAAGCGUGGGUAGCAAACAGGAUUAGAUACCCCUGUAGUC